rnacentral:rRNA from 1 species
GUGAGGAAUAUUGCACAAUGGGCGAAAGCCUGAUGCAGCGACGUCGCGUGGAGGAUGAAGGUUUUCGAAUCGUAAACUCCUGUUAAGUGGGAAGAAAUACCUGUAAUGAAUAAGUGCAGGAGAUGACGUUACCACUAAAGAAAGCACCGGCUAACUUCGUGCCAGCAGCCGCGGUAAUACGAGGGGUGCAAACGUUAUUCGGAAUUACUGGGCGUAAAGGGUGUGUAGACGGAUUAUCAAGUCAAUUAUUAAAUUUCUCGGCUUAACCGAGGAGCCGUAGUUGAAACUGAUAAACUAGAGGACGGAAGAGAGAAGUGGAAUUCUCGGAGUAGCGGUAAAAUGCGUAGAUCUCGAGAGGAACACCGAUGGCGAAGGCAGCUUCUUGGUCCGUAUCUGACGUUGAGACACGAAAGCGUGGGGAGCAAACAGG